rnacentral:rRNA from 1 species
UUUUUUAAAUUGCUGUGGUAUUUUGACUAUACAAAGGUAUUGUAAUAAGAUUUUAAUUGAAUGCUAAAAGAAUGGAAAUUUAAAAAAAAACUUUUUUAAAAAUAAAAAUUGAAUUUUUUUUAAUUUGUGCAAAAACAAUUAUACUUAUUAAAGACAAGAAGACCCUAAGAAUUUAAGAUUUUACAAUUAAAAAGUUUUUUUUUUAAAAUCUUGAUUGGGGCGAUCAAAAAAUAUUAAUAACUUUUUAAAAUUUAAAUUGAUCUAUUAUUAAUAAACUAAUGAAUUAAAUACUCUAGGGAUAACAGCGUAAUAAUUUUUGAUAGAUCUUAUUGACAAAAUAGUUUGCGACCUCGAUGUUGGAUUAGGAUUCUUUUUUAAUGAAGAAGUUAAAAAAAGAAGUUUGUUCAACUUUUAAAUUCCUACUUGAUCUG